rnacentral:rRNA from 1 species
CCUACGGGAGGCUGCAGUGGGGAAUAUUGCACAAUGGGGGAACCCUGAUGCAGCGACGCCGCGUGAGCGAUGAAGUAUUUCGGUAUGUAAAGCCCUAUCAGCAGGGAAGAAAAUGACGGUACCUGACUAAGAAGCCCCGGCUAACUACGUACCAGCAGCCGCGGUAAUACGUAGGGGGCAAGCGUUAUCCGGAUUUACUGGGUGUAAAGGGGGCGUAGACGGCUUGGCAAGCCAGAUGUGAAAGGCUGGGGCUCAACCCCAGGACUGCAUUUGGAACUGGCAUGCUAGAGUGUCGGAGAGGCAGGCGGAAUUCCUAGUGUAGCGGUGAAAUGCGUAGAUAUUAGGAGGAACACCGAUUGCGAAGGCAGCUUACUAAACUGCCACUGACAUUGAUGCUCGAAAGUGUGGGUAUCAAACAGGAUUAGAUACCCUAGUAGUC